GAUGAACGCUGGCGGCGUGCUUAACACAUGCAAGUCGAACGGAAAGGCCCAAGCUUGCUUGGGUACUCGAGUGGCGAACGGGUGAGUAACACGUGGGUGAUCUGCCCUGCACUUCGGGAUAAGCCUGGGAAACUGGGUCUAAUACCGGAUAGGACCACAUUUUGGAUGGUGUGGUGGAAAGUUUUUCGGUGUGGGGUGAGCUCGCGGCCUAUCGGCCUGUUGGUGGGGUAAUGGCCUACCAAGGCGUCGACGGGUAGCCGGCCUGAGAGGGUGAACGGCCGUAUGGGGACUGAGGGGCGGCCCCAGCAGGGAAGGGGGGGAAAUGGGGGAAAGUUUGAAGAAGGAGCGCAGGCUGAGUGCUGAAGGGCCGGGGGGGGGAAGACGGCGUUAGGGGGGAAAACCCUAUGGGUAAGGAACGGGGCAUUUUUGGACGGGAACUAAGGAGAAAGGCACGGCUAAAUCCGUG
rnacentral:rRNA from 1 species